CAGCAGCCGCGGUAAUACGUAGGUGGCAAGCGUUGUCCGGAAUUAUUGGGCGUAAAGGGCUCGCAGGCGGUUUCUUAAGUCUGAUGUGAAGCCCCCGGCUCAACCGGGGAGGGUCAUUGGAAACUGGGAAACUUGAGUGCAGAAGAGGAGAGUGGAAUUCCACGUGUAGCGGUGAAAUGCGUAGAGAUGUGGAGGAACACCAGUGGCGAAGGCGACUCUCUGGUCUGUAACUGACGCUGAGGAGCGAAAGCGUGGGGAGCGAACAGGAUUAGAUACCCCAGUAGUCCCUGUCUCUAUACAC
rnacentral:rRNA from 1 species